rnacentral:lncRNA from 1 species
UGCCAAAGUUUCGAUGUAAAAAAUAAUAGUCUAAGAUAAGAUUUGAAAGUAAAAUUUAUAUACUAGUGAAGGUAUCUGUGCGUUGCGGCUGGUCGAUUUUGCAAAAGCAAAUAAAUAAAAGAAGUUGAAAAAAGAAAAAAAAUAAAAGCAUAAAAAUUAAAAGAAAAGAUUAAAAAAUAAAAAGAAUAAAAAUAGAAUCAACUGAUCAAGAAAAAGCAGCUUUAAUAAAAUAGAAGAAGGAUAAAAGAAAAUUAAAGAUAAAAUCAUAAGAAUAAUAAAUUAUGCUUAUAGCAACAAUAAAAGUUGAGGACUAAAUGUCACAUGUCUCAUAGUUCGAGCGAAAAUUUUUAAUUAAUUAAAGUUUGAGAACUAAAGUGUCAUGUGCCUCAUAUAUUGAGCCAAAAAUUGCAUUACAUUAAAGUUCAAAGGCUAUAGAUCACGUGCAUUAUAGCCUUUGACCAAUAGUGUAGUUUAUCCUUUUUUAUAUUUUAUUUUUAUUCCAGACAAAGAUAGUGUUGAACAUUGUUUUGUUCAAUUAAUAAUUUUAUUUGAGGAAGGAACCUGCUAAACUAUCUAAUAAAAUUUAGAAUACAUGAUUAUUAAAAUUAAAAGUUGACCAAUCAUAUUUGGAAUAUUUUGUCCUAAAUGAUUCUGAACGUGAUUAACGAUCAAUUAUAUUUUGAAUAUUCUAGAAGAUUGUGAACGUAAAGUUGAUCGCUCAUCAUACUAUAAAUAUAAUAUUAAAGUUUGAUAUUAAAUCAAAGUAUAUAGUACUUUCUUAAACUAUGGACCAAUUUGAAUUGGCUAUCAACCUUUCAAAAUAUUAUUUUUAGUAUUCAACGUCUCAAUUUGUUUAAUUUAAGUCAGUUAACGAUACUUUGAUUUUAAAAUUUGAAUGUGUCGUUUAUUUUUACAGAUUACUUAGUAUACUUCAUACAAUUUUUGUAAUUAUAAAUUUAUUAAUAUAAUUAGCUUAAACUCUAUCAAUCUUCUCUCUUUUUUAUUAUACAAUUUAUAUCUAAGUGAUAAUAUUAUGAAAUUAAAAUUUAUAUUUAAUAUAUGCUAUCUUAGCUAUGUACAAAAAAAUAUAUAUAAUUUAAAUAUUUUAUUAAGAGAAGGAGAUUUGGUGGGAGAAAACAAGGUGGGUCCCACCCUUGCCUAUAUAUGCCCAAAUUUACUUACAGUGAGAAAGAUAGAGAGGAGAAUUGGAUAUAAAACAAAAACAAAAAAGGGCCACCGAAGCCACCAUUGUACACAGCACUAUGAGACUGCCACGUAGAUGCAUAGAAACUAAAAUGCAUAUAAAACUAGGGAUUCAUAUAUUUCUAGAGGUUAAUUUUGUAUAGAUAUCUACAAAUAUAGUGAAUUAUAAAUAUAUUCAUACAAAGUUCAACUUUCAUAUGUUGUUUCUGUAAAAGUCAUGAUAUUUUCAAAUAUGUCCCUAUUAUUAGAAUCUGUUAGAAAAAAUUAGUUAACUAUAGAUAAAAUACUUAACUCUAGUUCGUUAAUGAGAUGAAUUAACCUUUUUACCUCUCUUGAAUUAAUAGUUGGGACUUUUAGAGAGACAUAUUUAUAAUGGUAAAAAGGUUAUUUUCACUUAUAAAAUAAACAGUAUUUUAACGGUAAGAAAUCAGAAUAAUAUAUUUGAAACAAUUAGGACUUUUGUAGGGACAACAUAUGAAAGUUGAAAUUUAUAAGGAUACAUUUAUAAUUCACUAUGUUUGUAGGAACAUGUAUGAAAUUAACCCUAUUUAUAAUAUAUAUAGAUGUUUUAUCUAUUUAAUUUUUGU